CCGGGGGGAAAGUGCAAAAGACCUUGGAAGAGAGAGUUCAGAAGGGGGUGAACCCCCGGAGUCGGAACCGAUAAGAGUGGAGGUACCGGGGUACCAUUCACCGGUUCCUUGGGGCUCGGUGCACUUGUUGCCCGUAAGCGCUGAGUGCGUUGACGGUGUGCGUCGAACCGGCACGUGUUGCCCACCUCGGUGGUGUCUUGCGUGUUGGGGAGGCGUGUCGCGGCUAACGUGAUUCGGUGUGCAAGUCAAUCACCUAUCCGACCCGUCUUGAAACACGGACCAAGGAGUCUUGCGUAUGCGCGAGUCAUUGGGUGGAAAACCUAAAGGCGCAAUGAAAGUAAAGGUCGGCAUUUCGAUCGGCUGAUAUGGGAUGCGUGCGCUCGGCGUGCGUCGCACCAUAGCCCCGUCUCGAUGGCUUGCCAUGGGGCGGAGGUAGAGCGUAUGCGCAAGGACCCGAAAGAUGGUGAACUAUACGUGAGCAGGACGAAGCCGGAGGAAACUCCGGUGGAGGUCCGUAACGAUUCUGACGUGCAAAUCGAUCGUCUGA
rnacentral:rRNA from 1 species